rnacentral:rRNA from 1 species
UACGUAGGCAGCGAGCGUUGUUCGGAAUUACUGGGCGUAAAGAGUGUGUAGGCGGUGCUCUAAGUUCGGUGUGAAAUCUCCCGGCUUAACUGGGAGGGUGCGCCGGAAACUGGAGUGCUCGAACGUGGGAGAGGAAAGCGGAAUUCCUGGUGUAGCGGUGAAAUGCGUAGAUAUCAGGAGGAACACCUGUGGUGUAGACAGCUUACUGGACCACUUCUGACGCUGAGACACGAAAGCGUGGGUAGCAAACAGG